GAUGAACGCUAGCGAUAGGCUUAACACAUGCAAGUCGAGGGGUAACGUGUUGGAAGCUUGCUUCCGAUGACGACGACCGGCGGAUGUGUGCGUAACGCGUAUUCAACUUGCCUCACAGUGGAGAAUAACCCGGAGAAAUCCGGACUAAUACUCCAUACACUCUUAAGUACGCCUGUACAUGAGAGGAAAGAUUUAUCGCUGUGAGAUAGGCAUGCGUCCUAUUAGGUAGUUGGUGAGGUAACGGCUCACCAAGCCGACGAUAGGUAGGGGUGCUGAGAGGCAGAUCCCCCACAUUGGGACUGAGACACGGCCCAAACUCCUACGGGAGGCAGCAGUGAGGAAUAUUGGUAAAUGGAGGAAACUCUGAACCAGCCAAGUCGCGUGAAGGAAGAAUGUCCUAAGGAUUGUAAACUUCUUUAGCGAGCGAGUAAGGACUUCCACGUGAUGGGAGUUUGAAAGUAGCUCGAGAAUAAGUAUCGGCUAACUCCGUG
rnacentral:rRNA from 1 species